ensembl:miRNA
GAGGUGUGAGGAUUGCUUGAGGUCUGGAGGUCAUGGCUGCAGUGAACUGUGAUCACACCACUGCACUCCAGCCUGAGUGACAGAGCAAGACCCUGUCUC